rnacentral:rRNA from 1 species
UGUUGGGGUAACGGCCCAACAAGCCCGUGAUCGGUACGGGUUGUGAGAGCAAGAGCCCGGAGAUGGAUUCUGAGACACGAAUCCAGGCCCUACGGGGCGCAGCAGGCGCGAAAACUUUACAAUGCGGGAAACCGUGAUAAGGGAACCCCGAGUGCCCGUAAAUUCGGGCUGUCCAUCAGCGUAAAUAACUGGUGAAGAAAGGGCCGGGCAAGACCGGUGCCAGCCGCCGCGGUAAUACCGGCGGCUCGAGUGGUGGCCACUAUUAUUGGGCUUAAAGCGUCCGUAGCUUGGUUGUUAAGUCUCUUGGGAAAUCUACCGGCUCAACCGGUAGGCGUUCAGGAGAUACUGGCAAUCUAGGGACCGGGAGAGGUGAGAGGUACUCCAGGGGUAGGAGUGAAAUCCUGUAAUCCUUGGGGGACCACCUGUGGCGAAGGCGUCUCACUAGAACGGCUCCGACAGUGAGGGACGGAAGCUGGGGGAGCAAACCGGAUUAGAU